AUGGGAGAGGGUCGCAGCCGGCGCCGGCCUGCUUCGGCGAGGUUAGGCGUGAACUGGCGGUUGGCGGCGGCUCGAUCCACUCCUGGAUCGAGACCUACGAGGAUGCUGGGGCUUGGGCGUGAGGCACGGGAGGCUGCGCUCCGCCUCUUCCUCGCUCAACAAGAGGAGCAUGUGCAGUGCGGGUGGUGCGGCGGACAGCGGCUCAUGCAGUGGUGCGGCAUCCGGUGGCCUCAGCGGGUGGGCAACGACACCAGCAACUGGUGCACAAUGGUGACGCCAUGCAGCUCCUGCACUCCGCAACCCUCUCCUUCCCGGCACAGCAGGAGCAGGAGCAAGGAUGCCGAGGCAUUUCAGUUGCAAGGAAGAGUAGGAAGAUCAGGCAGAGAAGGUUUAACAUACCUCUUCUACACUGACAAGUCUUUGCUUCCCAGGAUUGUCAUGGCCAAGAUGGAAUGUGAAGGAAACGUGACCUUCUCUGGGAAAAUCGGUAUCUGGCCAUUCAUGAAAGAAGUUCCUGCUCAGAGGAGAAGCGACAAUAGGCCCAGAGGUACAAUAGAGACAAAGUCAAUAAAGGUCGACAGAACAGUGAUGAGGGAGUUCCUGACAGAGAAGAUCUUGCCAGCGAUACAAGCAGUUUGGCCGGAAAGUGAUGUUGGACAGACCAUCUACAUUCAACAGGAUAAUGCUAAGCCCCAUAUCUUGCCAGAUGACCAGGAAUUUCUAGCAGUCGUCACAAAAACUGGACUUGACAUUAGAUUAGUACAACAGCCUGCUAACAGUCCUGAUUUGAAUGUGCUUGACCUUGGGUUUUUCAACUCGCUGCAAUCUCUGAUAGAUUGUCUGAGUCCUAAAACACUACAAGACCUUAUUGCAGAUGUUUUGGAGGAAUUUGAAGGCUAUGAGGUUUACAAGCUCAACAGAAUUUUCCUAACUCUACAAAUGUGCAUGAUUGAGAUCAUGAACCAUGCAGGGGGAAAUGGGUAUAAAAUACCACAUGUUAACAAGGAAAGGCUUGAGGGUCAUGGGCAACUACCUCCAAGAAUAACAUGCCCUAAAGAGGUUUACACAAAUGCCCUAUACAACUUAGAGGAGAUGCUUGACAUGAGGCUUGUUCAGAUGCUUGAGAUGAGGCUUGUUCAGAUGCUUGACAUGAGGCUUGUUCAGAUGCUUGACAUGGGAGAUGCUUGA
rnacentral:rRNA from 1 species